CAAUAGCGUAUAUUAAAGUUGUUGCGGUUAAAAAGCUCGUAGUUGGAUUUCUGCCGAGGACGUCCGGUCCGCCCUCUGGGUGAGUACAUGGCACGGCCUGGGCAUCUUCUUGGGGAACGUAUCUGCACUUGACUGUGUGGUGCGGUAUCCAGGACUUUUACUUUGAGGAAAUUAGAGUGUUUCAAGCAGGCACACGCCUUGAGUACAUUAGCAUGGAAUAAUAAGAUAGGACCUCGGUUCUAUUUUGUUGGUUUCUAGAGCUGAGGUAAUGAUUAAUAGGGAUAGUUGGGGGCAUUCGUAUUUAACUGUCAGAGGUGAAAUUCUUGGAUUUGUUAAAGACGGACUACUGUGAAAGCAUUUGCCAAGGAUGUUUUCAUUGA
rnacentral:rRNA from 1 species